CCAUCACACUGUGAGUCAGUUGGUUCGGAGAAGGCCUACCAGAAACACCUGGCUGGAGGCACACCUGAGCCCGGCUGGGUCAAACUGGAGACCAACUUACAGGUAUGACCAUCACACUGUGAGUCAGAGUUGGUUCGGAGAAGGCCUACCAGAAACACCUGGCUGGAGGCACACCUGAGCCCGGCUGGGUCAAACUGGAGACCAACUUAGAGGUAUGACCAUCACACUGUGAGUCAGAGUUGGUUCGGAGAAGGCCUACCAGAAACACCUGGCUGGAGGCACACCUGAGCCCGGCUGGGUCAAACUGGAGACCAACUUAGAGGUAUGACCAUCACACUGUGAGUCAGAGUUGGUUCGGAGAAGGCCUACCAGAAACACCUGGCUGGAGGCACACCUGAGCCCGGCUGGGUCAAACUGGAGACCAACUUACAGGUAUGACCAUCACACUGUGAGUCAGAGUUGGUUCGGAGAAGGCCUACCAGAAACACCUGGCUGGAGGCACACCUGAGCCCGGCUGGGUCAAACUGGAGACCAACUUAGAGGUAUGACCAUCACACUGUGAGUCAGUUGGUUCGGAGAAGGCCUACCAGAAACACCUGGCUGGAGGCACACCUGAGCCCGGCUGGGUCAAACUGGAGACCAACUUAGAGGUAUGACCAUCACACUGUGAGUCAGAGUUGGUUCGGAGAAGGCCUACCAGAAACACCUGGCUGGAGGCACACCUGAGCCCGGCUGGGUCAAACUGGAGACCAACUUAGAGGUAUGACCAUCACACUGUGAGUCAGAGUUGGUUCGGAGAAGGCCUACCAGAAACACCUGGCUGGAGGCACACCUGAGCCCGGCUGGGUCAAACUGGAGACCAACUUAGAGGUAUGACCAUCACACUGUGAGUCAGAGUUGGUUCGGAGAAGGCCUACCAGAAACACCUGGCUGGAGGCACACCUGAGCCCGGCUGGGUCAAACUGGAGACCAACUUAGAGGUAUGACCAUCACACUGUGAGUCAGAGUUGGUUCGGAGAAGGCCUACCAGAAACACCUGGCUGGAGGCACACCUGAGCCCGGCUGGGUCAAACUGGAGACCAACUUAGAGGUAUGACCAUCACACUGUGAGUCAGAGUUGGUUCGGAGAAGGCCUACCAGAAACACCUGGCUGGAGGCACACCUGAGCCCGGCUGGGUCAAACUGGAGACCAACUUACAGGUGAACUUUGGGAAGGUUCCCAUGGUGAUGCGUCAGCCCUUUUCCAGUAGAAUCAGGAGGAACUUCCUGUCUGGGAUUCAGGUGGAGUUUAAACAGUCGCCUCAUCAGAGAAGUCUCCGGGCCCAGCUCCACUGGCUACAGGUAGACAACCAGCUG